rnacentral:rRNA from 1 species
UACGUAGGGUGCGAGCGUUAAUCGGAAUUACUGGGCGUAAAGCGUGCGCAGGCGGUUGUGCAAGACCGAUGGGAAAUCCCCGGGCUCAACCUGGGAAUUGCAUUUGUGACUGCACGGCUAGAGUGUGUCAGAGGGGGGUAGAAUUCCACGUGUAGCAGUGAAAUGCGUAGAGAUGUGGAGGAAUACCGAUGGCGAAGGCAGCCCCCUGGGAUAACACUGACGCUCAUGCACGAAAGCGUGGGGAGCAAACAGG